rnacentral:rRNA from 1 species
CCUACGGGUGGCAGCAGUGGGGAAUAUUGGACAAUGGGGGGAACCCUGAUCCAGCCAUGCCGCGUGUGUGAAGAAGGCCCUCGGGUUGUAAAACACUUUCAGUGAGGAAGAACGCCUGGUGGUUAAUACCCAUCAGGAAAGACAUCACUCACAGAAGAAGCACCGGCUAACUCCGUGCCAGCAGCCGCGGUAAUACGGAGGGUGCGAGCGUUAAUCGGAAUUACUGGGCGUAAAGCGCGCGUAGGUGGCUUGAUAAGCCGGUUGUGAAAGCCCCGGGCUCAACCUGGGAACGGCAUCCGGAACUGUGAAGCUAGAGUGCAGGAGAGGAAGGUAGAAUUCCCGGUGUAGCGGUGAAAUGCGUAGAGAUCGGGAGGAAUACCAGUGGCGAAGGCGGCCUUCUGGACUGAAACUGACGCUGAGGUGCGAAAGCGUGGGUAGCAAACAGGAUUAGAUACCCUGGUAGUC